UCGGGAAUUUUGGGCAAUGGGCGAAAGCCUGACCCAGCAACGCCGCGUGAAGGAUGAAGUAUUUCGGUAUGUAAACUUCGUAAGAAUAGGAAGAAUAAAUGACGGUACUAUUUGUAAGGUCCGGCUAACUACGUGCCAGCAGCCGCGGUAAUACGUAGGGACCAAGCGUUGUUCGGAUUUACUGGGCGUAAAGGGCGCGUAGGCGGUGUGUCAAGUCAGUUGUGAAAUCUCCGAGCUUAACUCGGAACGGUCAACUGAUACUGUCACACUAGAGUACAGAAGGGGCAAUCGGAAUUCUUGGUGUAGCGGUGAAAUGCGUAGAUAUCAAGAGGAACACCUGAGGCGAAGGCGGGUUGCUGGGCUGAUACUGACGCUGAGGCGCGAAAGCUAGGGUAGCAAACGGGAUUAGAUACCCGGGUAGUCCCUGAGCGGGCUGGCAAGGCGCAU
rnacentral:rRNA from 1 species